UACAGGAACAAGCAUAUAGGCAGGACGAGUAGUGGCAGGAGUGUCCACAUCUACUGCAUCCAUUUCUUCGCUUGCUUGGUGGUGGCCAUUGCUUGAUCCAUACACACACGUCGAGGCAGAGGAAGUAUAAGGCGAAAAGGAGAGGAGUUGUCUUGUGAUGGCAUGCAUCAACAUGUUCAACUCGGAUCACCAAAGCCUCUGUGGCAUGCCGGCAGCGCCACGCAUCUCGUUCUCCAGUGACUUCGCCGUGGAGCCGCCGGCGACGCGCACCCCCGGGCCGCCGCCUGACCCCAACUUCGAGUUCGCGGUGGGCAGCCAUUCGAUGAUCGACGCGGAUCAGCUCUUCUUCAAGGGCCGGUUGCUUCCUUUCAGGGACAGCCACCAAGGCGGGCCGCAGCGGAUCACCACCUUAAGGGAAGAACUCAGGGCCAACGACGAGGACGGGGUCCAGUUGGAGCGGCCGCCGAGAGGAACCAUCAAGUGGAAGGAGCUCCUUGGGCUGAAGAAGUCUCAUUGCAGCUCGGCCGGGGCAGCAGCAUCGGAGGUGGUGGCAAAGAAGAGCCAUAAGAAGAACGAAGACGAGCUUCCCGUCAAGCCUACACAGGAACUACGAGGGCACGGCGAAGCCAAUUUUAGUACCUGAAGUGAUGACUGUUGAAGGUGCUAAAGCGGCAAAGACAGACGUUGCAGCAGUGUUCAGUGUUUCUUCUUCAUCUUGUUGAAGCUGUGGUUCUUAUGGUGGAGAGUGGUGAUGACUUGUAGGUACUGGGAUUUGAAGGAAAACACUCCUUUUGUUUUUCCUAGUAGGGAGUAAUGGAAAAGCUAGCUAAUUGUGGUUUGUCUGUGAGCGGCUUCUAGCUGGGGAAUCAAUUGUGUGAUGCUGAAUCUGAGUUCAGAUCUGUACAGAUGAGGAGGCUCCUUCUGUGGCUUUUUAUCUCCUCCUUUCUUGUUUGGUUCCACUCGGUUGGGGAACAGAUGUGCCUUUGUCCUUGAGUUCGAGUUGUGAUAAAGAGAAUAGAGACAAAGACUGAGGAGUUCAUUUUAAGUUUUUGACUGUGUUUCCCAUCUCCAAUGCAAUGUUCGUUUAAGAGUGUCGCUUCCUCUUGUUAUCAGCUCACAGUGUGGCUGAUGGCAAAGAAGACAAGAACUGGUGGGUAAUGAGUGAGGAAAAUGACCAGUACUGUUCUGAUCUCUGGAAACUAAGACAAAGGGAGUCACUUGGGAAAUGAGCUCAAUCUUUUUUCCUUGAUGGCAAUGGUUUUAUUUGGAACAAAAAUAAGUUAUAUAAAGUUGAACACUUCAGCAGGCUUUGGACAGAAGAAGAAUGCAACACAAAAGUACAGAACAGAGUGAGCUCAUUUUCAUCAAGAACAUUACUGACAAAUGUUUCAGCUU